rnacentral:misc_RNA from 1 species
CUCGCGGACCACCGCUCGUAAUGCACGGCGAAAGUUGCCGAACUCGCCCGAACACGAUCGGAACACUUUCCAAAUUCAAAAUGCUCUGAUUUUGAUUAUUCGCAACACAAACACAGCUGUAUAAUAUUCGAGUGUUAUAAGUGACAGUGUGCGUGAGUGAGACAGUGGUAUUGUUUAUGUGUUUACCAGUGAGUGGGAGAGAGACGGCAAUAUGUUGCGCGGGAUUAAGUACCAGCGGUUGGAUGAUUUGGAGAUCGGAGAGCCGAGCGCCGAACUGGUGGCGGUGCGGGUGUCCAUCAAUGGCAUGACCUGCCAGUCCUGCGUGCGCAGCAUCGAGGCCUCCACCAGGGAGCUGCCGGGCAUACACCUAGUUAAGGUGGAGCUAUCAGAAAACGCGGGCUACUUCAGAUAUGAUCCGCGCACCAUCACGGAGGAGGCCAUCCGGUCCCAUAUAGAAGACAUGGGCUUCGAGGUACCCACUGACACCACGGAUCACGAAACUAGGAACCUGCUACCCAAGGAGAUCCCGACAGACCUGCUGAUAGACAUGUCCGGCACCGGCGAGGCGGAUGAGCAGGAGGUUCUGCUGUCCAUCGUCGGCAUGACCUGCCAGUCCUGCGUCAACACCAUUGAAGAGGCACUCCGAGCCCUACCAAGUGUAUCGCAGGCCACAGUGAACUUGUCCGAGGGCACUGCUGUGGUGGUGGGCGCGCGCAGCAGUACGCUCGCGCGGACGCUGGCUGACGCAGUGUACGCGCUCGGCUUCUCUGUCAGUGUACGCGCUGUGGACGGCGAGCUGUGUGCUGAUUCAGCAACACAAACCAAAAGUGAAGAAGGUUCAGGGGAUGGUAUCAAACCACCUUCUCCUGUCAAGAGUCGGACGCAAACUAAUGGCGCAGCAUCCCCGAUCCCGGAGAGCGAGCUGUGUCGCUGCACGCUGGAGGUGCGCGGCAUGACGUGCGCGUCCUGCGUCGCGGCUAUUGAGAAGCACUGCACUAAGUUGUAUGGAGUGGAAUCAAUCCUAGUAGCCCUGUUAGCAGCUAAAGCAGAAGUCCGCUACGCUCCCAGUAAGAUCUCAGCGGCCGACAUAGCGCACUGCAUCACGGAACUGGGCUUCCCGGCUAGCGUGAUCAGCGACUGUGAUGGCAGUGGACAGAGGGAUUUGCAUGUAGCUAUCAAAGGCAUGACAUGUGCGUCGUGCGUGAACAAGAUAGAGAAGAGUGUACUUAAGCUGACGGGCGUCGUGUCCUGCACUGUGGCGCUUACUACUAGCAAAGGUAAAAUAAAAUACAACGCGGAACAGAUAGGGCCGCGGACGAUAUGCGAGGCUAUCAACAACCUCGGGUUCGAAGCCAGCGUCGUGACGCCGCACAACAGAGGCACUACUAACUAUUUAGAACAUAAAGAAGAAAUAAGAAAAUGGCGGAACGCGUUCUUAGUGUCGCUAAUAUUCGGGGGUCCGUGCAUGGUCGCCAUGGCGUACUUCAUGGCGGUGAUGUCGCGCGGACACAGCGCCCGCGACAUGUGCUGCGUGCUGCCCGGCCUCAGCCUCGAGAACCUGCUCAUGUUCCUGCUGUCCACGCCCGUGCAGUUUAUCGGCGGUUGGCAUUUCUACAAGCAAGCUUACAAGGCGUUGAGUCACGGCACUUCUAAUAUGGACGUGCUUAUAUCUAUGACUACUACUAUCAGUUACGUAUACUCUCUCGCCGUAGUAAUAGCAGCGAUGGCGAUGCAGCAAGACACGAGUCCGGUGACAUUCUUCGACACGCCGCCCAUGUUACUGGUCUUCGUAUCUCUAGGACGAUGGCUUGAGCAUAUAGCCAAGGGUAAAACAUCAGAAGCAUUAUCCAAGCUGCUUUCACUAAAGCCUACGGAAGCAGUGUUAGUAACGUUAGAUGAAAACGGACAUCCUAUUAGCGAGAAGAGCAUACCUGUCGACCUGGUGGAACGGGGAGAUACACUCAAGGUGGUACCCGGAGCGAAAGUGCCAGUGGACGGUAAAGUGAUCUUCGGUCAGAGCACGUGCGACGAGUCGUUGAUCACCGGCGAGUCUAUGCCCGUGCCCAAGACUAAAGAUUCAGUAGUAAUAGGCGGCAGUAUAAACCAGCACGGAGCCCUCGUGGUCUCCGCGACUCACACGGGCGAGGCGAGCACGCUCGCGCAGAUCGUGCGCCUCGUGGAGGACGCGCAGGCCAGCAAGGCGCCCGUGCAGCGCCUCGCUGAUACCAUCGCUGGAUACUUCGUGCCCCUGGUAGUAUUCCUAUCUGUGCUGACUCUCGUCUGCUGGAUCAUCAGUGGAGCGCUCAAUAUUGACAGAAUCAAACUUAUUACGCCGCCAAUGUACGUAAACGCAGGCUACGCAGCCUGGGAACUGAUAGUUCAGACAGCAUUCCACUUCGCUCUGUCAGUGCUGGCUAUAGCAUGUCCGUGCGCGCUGGGGCUGGCCACGCCGACCGCGGUGAUGGUCGCUAGCGGCGUGGGGGCCAAGCUGGGGCUGCUUAUUAAGGGGGCUGAGCCGCUGGAGAACGCUCAUAAGGUGAAAACAGUAAUAUUCGACAAGACCGGCACAAUAACUCGCGGCAGUGCGACCGUAGCCAAGCUGUCGCUGCUGACGGGCUCGGCCAGCACGCUGGGCUCCGUGCUGGCUUGCUUGCUCACUGCCGAGCUCAACUCCGAACAUCCUGUCGCUUCUGCGAUAGUCCGUUGGUGCAGCGCGGCGCUGGGCGGGCACAGCGGGCUGGCGUGCGUCGGCUUCGUGGCGGCGCCGGGCUGCGGCCUGCGCGCGCGGCUCCGGCCCAUGGGGGAUACUAUACCCGUGCAUGUCGCUAACUUUAAUAAUCAGCCGAGAGCAGGCAGCACGUUCAUAGUGGAGGGUGUACCAGUGGAGGUGGUAUCACCCGGCGGCGACGCGGCGCUCAGCUCGGCCCACGCCGCGCAGAGGCUACACUCGCUCAUACAGCCGGGCGGAGAGGAAACGGAACAAGUAGUGCUCAUAGGCAACAGGGAGUGGAUGUCGCGUAACGGCGUGACUGUCCCGCGCCGCGUGCAGGACGCUCUGCAGCAAGACGAGGAGUUGGGCAGGACGGCCGUGCUCGCCGCCAUUAACGAUCAACUGGUAUGCACAAUAGGCGUGGCAGACGAGGUGAAGCCGGAAGCCCACCUCGCGGUCUACUGCCUCAAGAAGAUGGGCUUACAAGUGUGUCUUCUGACUGGCGACAACAGGAAGACCGCCGUCGCCAUAGCUAGACAGGUGGGCAUCAACAAAGUAUACGCAGAAGUCCUCCCCUCCCACAAGGUGGCUAAAAUCCAGAAGCUACAAGAAGAGGGCCAGAAGGUGGCCAUGGUGGGGGACGGCGUCAACGACUCGCCGGCGCUGGCGCAAGCCGACGUGGGGAUAGCUAUAGCCAGUGGCACUGAUGUCGCUGUGGAAGCCGCUGAUCUUGUGUUAAUGAGAAAUGAUCUCCUAGACGUGGUAGCCUGCCUAGAACUAUCUAGAACAACAGUGCGUCGAGUUCGUCUGAACUUCCUGUUCGCCAGCGUGUACAAUCUACUGGGCAUCCCGCUAGCUAGCGGCGCCUUCGCGUCUCUGGGGCUGCAGCUACAGCCGUGGAUGGCAUCGGCUGCGAUGGCGAUGAGUUCAGUGUCAGUCGUGUGUUCCAGUUUAUUGCUCAAAACUUUCAAAAAGCCUACGAUAGAACAACUCCGCACAGCCGAGUACUUACAGUCUAUACACCUUCAAGACCUGGACUCUGUGUCCGUGCACCGCGGCCUCGACGAGCGCCUCGACCCCGUCGAGCGCGGCGCCUCGCCCCUCGCCAAGUUAGUACUAGUGUUCAGUAGAUACUGUCAGUUGUUACAUACACCUGCAACACCUGGACUCUGUGUCCGUGCACCGCGGCCUCGACGAGCGCCUCGACCCCGUCGAGCGCGGCGCCUCGCCCCUCGCCAAGUUAGUACUAGUGUUCAGUAGAUACUGUCAGUUGUUACAUACACCUGCAACACCUGGACUCUGUGUCCGUGCACCGCGGCCUCGACGAGCGCCUCGACCCCGUCGAGCGCGGCGCCUCGCCCCUCGCCAAGUUAGUACUAGUGUUCAGUAGAUACUGUCAGUUGUUACAUACACCUGCAACACCUGGACUCUGUGUCCGUGCACCGCGGCCUCGACGAGCGCCUCGACCCCGUCGAGCGCGGCGCCUCGCCCCUCGCCAAGUUAGUACUAGUGUUCAGUAGAUACUGUCAGUUGUUACAUACACCUGCAACACCUGGACUCUGUGUCCGUGCACCGCGGCCUCGACGAGCGCCUCGACCCCGUCGAGCGCGGCGCCUCGCCCCUCGCCAAGUUAGUACUAGUGUUCAGUAGAUACUGUCAGUUGUUACAUACACCUGCAACACCUGGACUCUGUGUCCGUGCACCGCGGCCUCGACGAGCGCCUCGACCCCGUCGAGCGCGGCGCCUCGCCCCUCGCCAAGUUAGUACUAGUGUUCAGUAGAUACUGUCAGUUGUUACAUACACCUGCAACACCUGGACUCUGUGUCCGUGCACCGCGGCCUCGACGAGCGCCUCGACCCCGUCGAGCGCGGCGCCUCGCCCCUCGCCAAGUUAGUACUAGUGUUCAGUAGAUACUGUCAGUUGUUACAUACACCUGCAACACCUGGACUCUGUGUCCGUGCACCGCGGCCUCGACGAGCGCCUCGACCCCGUCGAGCGCGGCGCCUCGCCCCUCGCCAAGUUAGUACUAGUGUUCAGUAGAUACUGUCAGUUGUUACAUACACCUGCAACACCUGGACUCUGUGUCCGUGCACCGCGGCCUCGACGAGCGCCUCGACCCCGUCGAGCGCGGCGCCUCGCCCCUCGCCAAGUUAGUACUAGUGUUCAGUAGAUACUGUCAGUUGUUACAUACACCUGCAACACCUGGACUCUGUGUCCGUGCACCGCGGCCUCGACGAGCGCCUCGACCCCGUCGAGCGCGGCGCCUCGCCCCUCGCCAAGUUAUUCCACCGCAGUAAGCAGCCCGAAGGCUGUCUCCUACAAGAGGAAGACGAUCUGAUGACCGUCUCCUUCAUCCCCAAGAGACGCCAGGAGCCCAGCAUCAAUGGGUGAUAGCCCAGCAGUGGGAUUGGGCAGUGGGAUCAAAUCCAGUGGGAAGCUGAGCUAAGUAGAUGGCGCUUGAGGCGAUCAAAUGGUUUAUUUUUAACCGACUUAGAAAAAGGAGGUUUUAAUUUCAACUGCUUUUUAUAGGACUGUUGUAGGUAUUGUUUUAUUUAAGAAUGUAGUUUUUUUGAGUUUGGUAUUCUUGGAAUUAGCUCGAUUUUUGUGGAAAAUAAUGUGUAUUAAAUCGAUCUUGCCAAAUUGAUUUGUAAAAUUAAACAGACUGACCGAACUGUCUGAACAAUAUGAUGGAAAUGAAAAUGUACUCUCUUUUUUGAAAGUUACACAGAAUGUCUUCCUAGGGGGUUAGAUCUUGUGAAAAGUUUAAUAAUCGUACACUUAUUUUGAUCCAAAAAUGUAUAUCGUUUUCCAAAAAAGGCUCCAAUUCAUAACUGGCAGGUAAUUGAAAUGUAAAAUUAUCUAUGUUUAAGAACAGCGUCAUCUACAAAGCAAAAUCCUAUCAGUUUAGCAGACAAUGCCGAGUGCAUAGCUAGUAUGUGACGGACAGUGCAGUGUUACAGUGAAACUAAGAGUAAAGACUGAUGUGCUUCUGUAAAUAUUACGUGUAUCGGGCAAAGUUCGAACUUAGGCGGUAUGUGAAAUGACUAGGGUAUAUUUUUUGAUAAUGUGUGAUUUUAUGAUUGUUUUAAGGGUGGAUUUUGUUAAUAAUACUAUUGGUUUUAUUAUCAGAAUAUUAAUUAUGUUGUUAUACGGUAUGAAAAUGAGUAAAAACUAAGAAAAGUUUGGAUUUUUUUAAUUAGUGAUAUCAAUUUAAUGUUCUAGUCAUUUCGCAAUAUCGCCUAUUUAUUAGUUACAAUGCUACCUAGCCUUUAGAAGCUAACAACUAAGUUAACAGAAUAUAUCGCUUUAUAUUUUAACAUUUAUUAUAAAAUUUCGUACAAAAGAUACCUUCUAAGGUAAAACAAAAAAAAACGUAUAAAAUAUUAUUUUCACAAUGACAUGAUUAUAAAUAACGAAAACCUUAGGUAUCCAAAUUGGCACACACAGUUUUUGAGAAAAUCAUGAGCAAACUAUCUAUAGAGUUCGAAUACUGAACUUUUUUUUUAUCACUAUAAAAUAAUCCUGUGAAACUACCAGCAGUUUUUAUUAAAUUAUUAUGCUGGCAAAAUGUUUUAAAUACAUAUUUUUAUCAUUACAAUAUUAUUCCAUUUUUAUAGUAAAGAAUCCAUAGAUCAAUAGUUACCAAUUUGUACAAAAUAAUCUUUAUAAUAUGUAGUUAAAUACUGUAAAUUAUGUUGAUUUCAAUAAUCAUGAAAAAUAACUGCAAUAAAGAAAUCUUACUAAAACAAUUUACAGUAUGAAAAUACAAGAAUACUGCAAUUAUAUGUUUGUUAACAACCUCAUCACUGUUGGAUCAGCCGUUCUCGAAUCGUCGACGGGUUUGAGAAAAAUCAAUAAAUGGAAUAUAUUUUUUUCCUGACAAGGAAAGCCACGAGAAAAACCUAGUAAAUUAUAAAAUAUUCUAUUUAUUAAUUUCUACUCAAUAAAACGAGAACUUUACAAUAGACAAUUUUUAUUAGUAUUAUUUUGAUAUCAAAAUAUCAAGUCAUUGGCACUUUAAAAGUAUAAAUUCUCUUUAUCUUACGACAUCAAACCAAAUUACAUAAAAAUAUAUAUUUAGCAGUCAUACGGGGUCUGUCGUCAUAAGGGGUCAAGAGUUCUUUGAUGAAAUGACCCCAUAAAAAUAUUUUUCAUUUGGUUAAUAUGUAUAGUGCUCAAUGACUUGGGUUUUUAUGCCGUCAAAAGUGACAUUAUAUUUUUUUAAUAGUUGAAUAAAUACAAGUUUUAAGUAAUGUGUCGUUAAUUCCAUUAAGAAAUUAGAUAUUUUAUUGCUGGGAUAUAUCAAGUAUAAUUAUUUAUGUGAUAUAGCAAAUAUUAAUCAUAGAAAUGGCGUCUAGGACAAUUAUUAUUAUUAUCGGCCACGGCGGCUGUUCUCAUAUAAGGAGAUCAGCCGGCUGCGCAGGACAUAUUAUAGUGCACGAGCAUUUGCGCAGACACAGGUGCACUCACUAUUCCUUCACUCUCAAAGUAUUGGAAUCAACGACACUUUCAUGUAAAGACUUGGAUAUUUUGCGUUUAUAAAUAGCUAGAUACAUUAUAACUUUUUUUAUAAAAUGUAUGUCGUCAUACAUAUUUGGUUUAUUUGUUUCAACGAUCAUCAAUAUAAUCGUGUAUCGUAUUUAUACCGCUAUUCUUAUUGUAGAUUUUAAUAUGAAUAUAUUUUUGUAACAAAAUAUAAAGAAUUAAUUUUUA